ensembl:snRNA U6 U6 spliceosomal RNA
GUGCUCCCUUUGGCAGGACAUAAUGCUGAAACUGGAAUAAUAUAAAGAAGACUAGUAUGGCCUCUAUAAAAGGAUGACACACAAAUGUGUAGAGCAUUCCAUAUUUAA